GGGAGGUUAGCGGGCGCUCUAGACUCUGCAGCAAGAAAGGGGCAUUCUCAGUGUGUACUGGACCCUGGGCCGGCUCCGGCUCUGCGGCGGACCUCGCGUCCCGGGACCCCAACUUGGCCGAAGUUUCUGGAAAGUGCCCGGGACAGCUAGCUCCUGGUCGUCCCUUGGGUCUCUGCUUCGCCUCGCGCAGACAUCCUUUGGGCUGGUUGCGCGCCUGGGCUCCUGAGUCCCAGCCGCAGGAACUGGGCCGCGGGACCCACGCGUUGCCGGCACCUGGCUAUCCCACGGAUUCCUCGAAACCAGGUCGCGUGGCCGGACACUAGGUCUGUGUCGCCGGGGUGGCCGAACGCUCUUCCCGUCGGCCCAGAGGCCCGAGCCUUCUUUGUCACUCGCUGCGCCUGAGGAGAACCCGGAGACUCGGGACUCCCGCCGCCACCCGGCGAGAGGGAGCAUCUGGCAGAACCUGCCUCCGA
rnacentral:lncRNA from 1 species